rnacentral:rRNA from 1 species
UGGCUCACAUUUAAGGCUGGCGGCAGGCCUAACACAUGCAAGGCGAACGGUAACAGGAAGCAGCUUGCUGCUUCGCUGACGAGUGGCGGACGGGUGAGUAAUGUCUGGGAAACUGCCUGAUGGAGGGGGAUAACUACUGGAAACGGUGGCUAAUACCGCAUAACGUCGCAAGACCAAAGAGGGGGACCUUCGGGCCUCUUGCCAUCAGAUGUGCCCAGAUGGGAUUAGCUUGUUGGUGAGGUAACGGCUCACCAAGGCGACGAUCCCUAGCUGGUCUGAGAGGAUGACCAGCCACACUGGAACUGAGACACGGUCCAGACUCCUACGGGAGGCAGCAGUGGGGAAUAUUGCACAAUGGGCGCAAGCCUGAUGCAGCCAUGCCGCGUGUAUGAAGAAGGCCUUCGGGUUGUAAAGUACUUUCAGCGGGGAGGAAGGUGUUGUGGUUAAUAACCGCAGCAAUUGACGUUACCCGCAGAAGAAGCACCGGCUAACUCCGUGCCAGCAGCCGCGGUAAUACGGAGGGUGCAAGCGUUAAUCGGAAUUACUGGGCGUAAAGCGCACGCAGGCGGUCUGUCAAGUCGGAUGUGAAAUCCCCGGGCUCAACCUGGGAACUGCAUUCGAAACUGGCAGGCUUGAGUCUUGUAGAGGGGGGUAGAAUUCCAGGUGUAGCGGUGAAAUGCGUAGAGAUCUGGAGGAAUACCGGUGGCGAAGGCGGCCCCCUGGACAAAGACUGACGCUCAGGUGCGAAAGCGUGGGGAGCAAACAGGAUUAGAUACCCUGGUAGUCCACGCCGUAAACGAUGUCUACUUGGAGGUUGUGCCCUUGAGGCGUGGCUUCCGGAGCUAACGCGUUAAGUAGACCGCCUGGGGAGUACGGCCGCAAGGUUAAAACUCAAAUGAAUUGACGGGGGCCCGCACAAGCGGUGGAGCAUGUGGUUUAAUUCGAUGCAACGCGAAGAACCUUACCUGGUCUUGACAUCCACAGAAGAAUCCAGAGAUGGAUUUGUGCCUUCGGGAACUGUGAGACAGGUGCUGCAUGGCUGUCGUCAGCUCGUGUUGUGAAAUGUUGGGUUAAGUCCCGCAACGAGCGCAACCCUUAUCCUUUGUUGCCAGCGAUUAGGUCGGGAACUCAAAGGAGACUGCCAGUGAUAAACUGGAGGAAGGUGGGGAUGACGUCAAGUCAUCAUGGCCCUUACGACCAGGGCUACACACGUGCUACAAUGGCGCAUACAAAGAGAAGCGACCUCGCGAGAGCAAGCGGACCUCAUAAAGUGCGUCGUAGUCCGGAUUGGAGUCUGCAACUCGACUCCAUGAAGUCGGAAUCGCUAGUAAUCGUGGAUCAGAAUGCCACGGUGAAUACGUUCCCGGGCCUUGUACACACCGCCCGUCACACCAUGGGAGUGGGUUGCAAAAGAAGUAGGUAGCUUAACCUUCGGGAGGGCGCUUACCACUUUGUGAUUCAUGACUGGGGUGAAGUCGUAACAAGGUA